rnacentral:rRNA from 1 species
GAUGAACGCUGGCGGCGUGCUUAACACAUGCAGGUCGAACGAGAAAUGGAGACGGAAACCUUCGGGCGGAAGGCUUCAUUUCGAGUGGCGGACGGGUGAGUAACGCGUGGGUAACCUGCCUCAUACAGGGGGAUAACAGUUGGAAACGACUGUUAAUACUGCAUAAGACCACAGCACCGCAUGGUGCGGGGGUAAAAACUCCGGUGGUAUGAGAUGGACCCGCGUUCGAUUAGCCAGUUGGCGGGGUAACGGCCCACCAAAGCGACGAUCGAUAGCCGAUCUGAGAGGAUGACCGGCCACAUUGGGACUGAGACACGGCCCAAACUCCUACGGGAGGCAGCAGUGGGGAAUAUUGCACAAUGGGGGAAACCCUGAUGCAGCGACGCCGCGUGAGUGAAGAAGUACUUCGGUAUGUAAAGCUCUAUCAGCAGGGAAGAAAAUGACGGUACCUGAGUAAGAAGCCCCGGCUAACUACGUG